rnacentral:tRNA from 1 species
CACUGAAUAGCCAACAUGCACGGCAUCAGCCUUUUAAGCUGCCUUACGGUGCUCACCAACCACCUUCAGUGA